rnacentral:tRNA from 1 species
CAAGUUAGAGCUUGAUAAAGCAUUUUAUUUACAUUAAAGCGUUGGUUGUGAAAUUCAAUCUAAUUUGA